rnacentral:rRNA from 1 species
ACGCUGGCGGCACGCCUAACACAUGCAAGUCGAACGAAGUAGCAAUACUUAGUGGCAGACGGGUGAGUAACAUGUAGGUAUCUGCCCUUUGGCCUGGAAUAACACGAGGAAACUUGUGCUAAUACCGGAUAAGUCUUUACGGAGAAAGCUUUAUGCACCAUUGGAUGAGCCUGCACUUGAUUAGUUUGUUGGUGGGGUAAUGGCCUACCAAGACUGUGAUCAAUAGCUGAUUUGAGAGGAUGAUCAGCCACAUUGGGACUGAGACACGGCCCAAACUCCUACGGGAGGCAGCAGUGGGGAAUCUUGCACAAUGGAGGAAACUCUGAUGCAGCGAUGCCGCGUGAGUGAAGAAGGCCUUUGGGUUGUAAAGCUCUUUCGUCGGGGAAGAAAAUGACUGUACCCGAAUAAGAAGGUCCGGCUAACUUCGUGCCAGCAGCCGCGGUAAUACGAAGGGACCUAGCGUAGUUCGGAAUUACUGGGCUUAAAGAGUUCGUAGGUGGUUGAAAAAGUUGGUGGUGAAAUCCCAGAGCUUAACUCUGGAACUGCCAUCAAAACUUUUCAGCUAGAGUAUGAUAGAGGAAAGCAGAAUUUCUAGUGUAGAGGUGAAAUUCGUAGAUAUUAGAAAGAAUACCAAUUGCGAAGGCAGCUUUCUGGAUCAUUACUGACACUGAGGAACGAAAGCAUGGGUAGCGAAGAGGAUUAGAUACCCUCGUAGUCCAUGCCGUAAACGAUGUGUGUUAGACGUUGGGAAUUUAUUUUCAGUGUCGCAGCGAAAGCGAUAAACACACCGCCUGGGGAGUACGACCGCA